ensembl:lncRNA
AUGCGGCUCCUUUUUUCCCUUUCCUUUCUUCCAAAACUCUCCCGAGCCGUUCCUGCAAGUGGUUCUGUGACUCGGGAGCUGACAACAGCCGCAUGCAAAGGAACAAAGAACGAGAGUGACAAUUCAGAGUGCACGCAGAAAUGCAAGCCUGAAAAAGGAUUUAAAAGUUUGAUGGCUCUUUCUCCCUGGAAGAGAAAAUCCUAUUUCUCAGGGGGUUUAAGACCUCUAUAUACAUGUUUACCUCUGAAGUGGCGUAAAGAAGCAGCAAAUCUCCAGGUGACGACUGAUUGGUUUGUGACUGCAAGGAGUCAGGAGGUGGAUGGCGAAGCAGAUUGGCGCAACACAAGAGCGUGCAGCAGAUAG